CCUACGGGUGGCAGCAGUGGGGAAUAUUGGUCAAUGGGCGCAAGCCUGACCCAGCAACGCCGCGUGAAGGAAGAAGGCCCUCGGGUUGUAAACUUCUUUUAUUCGGGACGAAACAAAUGACGGUACCGAAUGUAUAAGCCACGGCUAACUACGUGCCAGCAGCCGCGGUAAUACGUAGGUGGCGAGCGUUAUCCGGAUUUAUUGGGUUUAAAGGUUGCGUAGGCGGAUCGUUAAGUCAGUGGUCAAAUUGAGGGGUUAAACCCCUUCCCGCCGUUGACACUGGCGGUCUUGAGUGGAAGAGAAGUGUGCGGAAUGCGUGGUGUAGCGGUGAAAUGCAUAGAGAUCACGCAGAACACCGAUUGCGAAGGCAGCACGCUGGAUUCCGACUGACGCUGAGGCACGAAAGCGUGGGGAUCGAACAGGAUUAGAUACCCUGGUAGUC
rnacentral:rRNA from 1 species